CCUUAGGUUGACAGACGUUGCGGCCAUAAUAUUUGGGCCACCUAUAAAAAAUUGAUAUCGACUUGUAGCACAGGAACAGGGCAACAAAUUCAUACCCGUAGAUGUAUGCUUUGUUGUAACAACUUUCGGCAUUUAGAACACUCCCGGAAAUCUAUGACAGUCUGGAAAGUCACUUCCGUUUAAUGAAUUGUGGACAAACUAUACAUGCGACCCCCUAUAAAUAGCUGCAGAAAGUUAGCAUACUGCCAGGGCAACUAACUUAUAUCACC
rnacentral:lncRNA from 1 species